rnacentral:misc_RNA from 1 species
AACGCACGAGACCUGCGGACCUGCGGAGGGAUCAUUAAUAAUUUAUCCAUCUUCUUUAUAUGGAUGAUUUAAAAAAUCCAUAUUCACCUUGUGUCUGUAUCCAUUGAAAUGUUUACUUUGGCAGUGCAGUUGUCUUAACGACGAAAAGGUGUGGUUUGGGGGGUCUCUCUCAUCAUACCCUGCCUGCCAGAGUUUUUUCUUUUAACACACACUUGAAUUAAACGAACUGAGAUAUAUAAU